GCCCGCGCCCCCCACCAAGGCUAUAGCCCACCCGUUUUUUGGCCAUUUUUCCGCUGGGGGGUUUUGGCACCACGACCUUCGGGCGCUUAUUUUUGGGCGCGGCUUUGCCCGCGGCUUAUUUUUGGCGCCCCGAGGCCCCGCGCAAAGUCUCGUCCCAUUCCGAGUCCGGCGGACGAACUUCGCCCGCGCCCCCCACCAAGGCUAUAGCCCACCCGUUUUUUGGCCAUUUUUCCGCUGGGGAGUUUGGCACCACGACCUUCGGGCGCUUAUUUUUGGGCGCGGGUUUGCCCGCGGCUUAUUUUUGGUGCNNNNNNNNNNNNNNNNNNNNNNNNNNNNNNNNNNNNNNNNNNNNNNNNNNNNNNNNNNNNNNNNNNNNNNNNNNNNNNNNNNNNNNNNNNNNNNNNNNNNACUUCGCCCGCGCCCCCCACCAAGGCUAUAGCCCACCCGUUUUUUGGCCAUUUUUCCGCUGGGGGGUUUUGGCACCACGAACUUCGGGCGCUUAUUUUUGGACGCGGCUGUGCCCGUGACUUCCCGCGGGCACCCCGAGGCCCCUCACAAAGUCUCGCCCCAUUCCGAGUCCGGCGGACGAACUUCGCCCGCGCCCCCCACCAAGGCUAUAGCCCACCCGUUUUUUGGUCAUUUUUCCGCUGGGGGGUUUUGGCACCACGACCUUCGGGCGCUUAUUUUUGGGCGCGGCUUUGCCCGCGGCUUAUUUUUGGCGCCCCGAGGCCCCGCGCAAAGUCUCGUCCCAUUCCGAGUCCGGCGGACGAACUUCGCCCGCGCCCCCCACCAAGGCUAUAGCCCACCCGUUUUUUGGCUAUUUUUCCGCUGGGGGUUUUGGCACCACGACCUUCGGGCGCUUAUUUUUGGGCGCGGCUUUGCCCGCGGCUUAUUUUUGGUGCCCCGAGGCCCCUCGCAAAGUCUCGCCCCAUUCCGAGUCCGGCGGACGAACUUCGCCCGCGCCCCCCACCAAGGCUAUAGCCCACCCGUUUUUUGGCUAUUUUUCCGCUGGGGGUUUUGGCACCACGACCUUCGGGCGCUUAUUUUUGGGCGCGGCUUUGCCCGCGGCUUAUUUUUGGUGCCCCGAGGCCCCUCGCAAAGUCUCGCCCCAUUCCGAGUCCGGCGGACGAACUUCGCCCGCGCCCCCCACCAAGGCUAUAGCCCACCCGUUUUUUGGCCAUUUUUCCGCUGGGGGGUUUUGGCACCACGAACUUUGGGCGCUUAUUUUUGGACGCGGCUGUGCCCGCGACUUCCCGCGGGCACCCCGAGGCCCCUCGCAAAGUCUCGCCCCAUUCCGAGUCCGGCGGACGAACUUCGCCUGCGCCCCCCACCAAGGCUAUAGCCCACCCGUUUUUUGGCCAUUUUUCCGCUGGGGGGUUUUGGCACCACGACCUUCGGGCGCUUAUUUUUGGGUGCGGCUUUGCCCGCAGCUUAUUUUUGGCACGCCGAGGCCCCUCGCAAAGUCUCGCCCCAUUCCGAGUCCGGCGGACGAACUUCGCCCGCGCCCCCCACCAAGGCUAUAGCCCACCCGUUUUUAGGCCGUUUUUCCGCUGGGGGGUUUUCACACCACGACCUUCGGGCGCUUAUUUUUGGGCGCGGCUUUGCCCGCGGCUUAUUUUUGGCGCCCUGAGGCCCCGCGCAAAGUCUCGCCCCAUUCCGAGUCCGGCGGACGAACUUCGCCCGCGCCCCCCACCAAGGCUAUAGCCCACCCGUUUUUUGGCCAUUUUUCCGCUGGGGGGUUUUGGCACCACGACCUUCGGGCGCUUAUUUUUGGGCUCGGCUUUGCCCGCGGCUUAUUUUUGGCGCCCCGAGGCCCCUCGCAAAGUCUCGCCCCAUUUCGAGUCCGGCGGACGAACUUCGCCCGCGCCCCCCACCAAGGCUAUAGCCCACUCGUGUUUUGGCCAUUUUUCCGCUGGGGGGUUUUGGCACCACGACCUUCGGCCGCUUAUUUUUGGGCGCGGCUGUGCCCGCGACUUCCCGCGGGCACCCCGAGGCCCCUCGCAAAGUCUCGCCCCAUUCCGAGUCCGGCGGACGAACUUCGCCCGCGCCCCCCACCAAGGCUAUAGCCCACCCGUUUUUUGGCCAUUUUUCCGCUGGGGGGUUUUAGCACCACGAACUUCGGGCGCUGAUUUUUGGAUGCGGCUGUGCCCGCGACUUCCCGCGGGCACCCCGAGGCCCCUCGCAAAGUCUCGCCCCAUUCCGAGUCCGGCGGACGAACUUCGCCCGCGCACCCCGCCAAGGCUAUAGCCCACCCGUUUUUUGGCAUUUUUCCGCUGGGGGGUUUUGGCACCACGACCUUCGGGCGCUUAUUUUUGGGCGCGGCUUUGCCCGCGGCUUAUUUUUGGCACCCCGAGGCCCCGCGCAAAGUCUCGCCCCAUUCCGAGUCCGGCGGACGAACUUCGCCCGCGCCCCCCACCAAGGCUAUAGCCCACCCGUUUUUUGGCCAUUUUUCCUCUGGGGGGUUUUGCCACCACGACCUUCGGGCACUUAUUUUUGGGCGCGGCUUUGCCCGCGGCUUAUUUUUGGUGCCCCGAGGCCCCUCGCAAAGUCUCGGCCCAUUCCGAGUCUGGCGGACGAACUUCGCCCGCGCCCCCCACCAAGGCUAUUGCCCCCCCGUUUUUUGGCCAUUUUUCCGCUGGGGGAUUUUGGCACCACGACCUUCGGGCGCUUAUUUUUGGACACGGCUGUGCCCCCGACUUCCCGCGGGCACCCCGAGGCCCCUCGCAAAGUCUCGCCCCAUUCCGAGUCCGGCGGACGAACUUCGCCCGCGCCCCCCACCAAGGCUAUAGCCCACCCGUUUUUUGGCCAUUUUUCCGCUGGGGGGUUUUGGCACCAUGAACUUCGGGCGCUUAUUUUUGGAUGCGGCUGUGCCCGCGACUUCCUGCGGGCACCCCGAGGCCCCUCGUAAAGUGUCGCCCCAUUCCGAGUCCGGCGGACGAACUUCGCCCGCGGCCCCCACCAAGGCUAUAGCCCACCCGUUUUUUGGCCAUUUUUCCGCUGGGGGGUUUUGGCACCACGACCUUCGGGCGCUUAUUUUUGGGUGCGGCUUUGCCCGCGGCUUAUUUUUGGUACCCCGAGGCCCCUUGCAAAGUCUCGCCCCAUUCCGAGUCCGGCGGACGAACUUCGCCCGCGCCCCCCACCAAGGCUAUAGCCCACCCGUUUUUUGGCCAUUUUUCCGCUGGGGGGUUUUGGCACCACGACCUUCGGGCGCUUAUUUUUGGGUGCGGCUUUGCCCGCGGCUUAUUUUUGGUGCCCCGAGGCCCCUCGCAAAGUCUCGCCCCAUUCCGAGUCCGGCGGACGAACUUCGCCCGCGCCCCCCACCAAGGCUAUAGCCCACCCGUUUUUUGGCCAUUUUUCCGCUGGGGGGUUUUGGCACCACGACCUUCGGGCGCUUAUUUUUGGACGCGGCUGUGCCCGCGACUUCCCGCGGGCACCCCGAGGCCCCUCGCAAAGUCUCGCCCCAUUCCGAGUCCGGCGGACGAACUUCGCCCGCGCCCCCCACCAAGGCUAUAGCCCACCCGUUUUUUGGCCAUUUUUCCGCUGGGGGGUUUUGGCACCACGAACUUCGGGCGCUUAUUUUUGGAUGCGGCUGUGCCCGUGACUUCCCGCGGGCACCCCGAGGCCCCUCGCAAAGUCUCGCCCCAUUCCGAGUCCGGCGGACGAACUUCGCCCGCGGCCCCCACCAAGGCUAUAGCCCACCCGUUUUUUGGCCAUUUUUCCGCUGGGGGGUUUUGGCACCACGACCUUCGGGCGCUUAUUUUUGGGUGCGGCUUUGCCCGCGGCUUAUUUUUGGUACCCCGAGGCCCCUUGCAAAGUCUCGCCCCAUUCCGAGUCCGGCGGACGAACUUCGCCCGCGCCCCCCACCAAGGCUAUAGCCCACCCGUUUUUUGGCCAUUUUUCCUCUGGGGGGUUUUGCCACCACGACCUUCGGGCACUUAUUUUUGGGCGCGGCUUUGCCCGUGGCUUAUUUUUGGUGCCCCGAGGCCCCUCGCAAAGUCUCGCCCCAUUUCGAGUCCGGCGGACGAACUUCGUCCACGCCCCCCACCAAGGCUAUAGCCCACCCGUUUUUUGGCCAUUUUUCCGCUGGGGGGUUUUGGCACCACGACCUUCGGGCACUUAUUUUUGGACGCGGCUUUGCCCGCGGCUUAUUUUUGGCACCCCGAGGCCCCUCGCAAAGUCUCGCCCCAUUCCGAGUCUGGCGGACGAACUUCGCCCGCGCCCCCCACCAAGGCUAUAGCCCACCCGUUUUUUGGCCAUUUUUCCGCUGGGGGAUUUUGGCACCACGACCUUCGGGCGCUUAUUUUUGGACGCGGCUGUGCCCGCGACUUCCCGCGGGCACCCCGAGGCCCCUCGCAAAGUCUCGCCCCAUUCCGAGUCCGGCAGACGAACUUCGCCCGCGCCCCCCACCAAGGCUAUAGCCCACCCGUUUUUUGGCCAUUUUUCCGCUGGGGGGUUUUGGCACCACGAACUUCGGGCGCUUAUUUUUGGAUGCGGCUGUGCCCGCGACUUCCCGCGGGCACCCCGAGGCCCCUCGCAAAGUGUCGCCCCAUUCCGAGUCCGGCGGACGAACUUCGCCCGCGGCCCCCACCAAGGCUAUAGCCCACCCGUUUUUUGGCCAUUUUUCCGCUGGGGGGUUUUGGCACCACGACCUUCGCGCGCUUAUUUUUGGGCGCGGCUUUGCCCGCGGCUUAUUUUUGGUAACCCGAGGCCCCUCGCAAAGUCUCGCCCCAUUCCGAGUCCGGCGGACGAACUUCGCCCGCGCCCCCCACCAAGGCUAUAGCCCACCCGUUUUUUUGGCCAUUUUUCCGCUGGGGGGUUUUGGCACCACGACCU
rnacentral:lncRNA from 1 species